AAAGAAUUCUAUCACUAACUUCUGGCAGUGGCCCUCAAAUUGGCAGGGUCCAUGCUCUAUUUCCUCAUGGUGAGACUCAACACUUAAAGUCGGCCCUAUGCAUACAGGGAGUUUCCAAUCGUCCCAUUCAUAACCAUGGAAAGACAGCCAGUAAUCACCAGAGUUUCGGAGAGAAGCCUCUAACAAAGAGAAUGACCAAAGUAGAAAACAGGUGAAAAAGAACGCACAGGAAACAGACAAGGCACACUCACAGGUGGUGCACCAAGUUGAACCUGACAGUGGAACUGUGUGGGUUUCAAGAUCGAGUGAUCAGAAAGGAACGGUAAACAAGCUGGGUGCAGUGGCUCACGCCUGUAAUCCCAGCACUUUGGGAGGCC
rnacentral:lncRNA from 10 species